rnacentral:rRNA from 1 species
UACGGGGGGGGCAAGCGUUGUUCGGAAUUAUUGGGCGUAAAGAGCUCGUAGGCGGUCUGUCGCGUCUGCUGUGAAAACUCAGGGCUUAACCCUGAGCUUGCAGUGGGUACGGGCAGACUAGAGUGCGGUAGGGGAGACUGGAAUUCCUGGUGUAGCGGUGAAAUGCGCAGAUAUCAGGAGGAACACCGGUGGCGAAGGCGGGUCUCUGGGCCGUAACUGACGCUGAGGAGCGAAAGCGUGGGGAGCGAACAGG